rnacentral:rRNA from 1 species
AUUACCGAGUUUACAACUCCCAAACCCCUGUGAACAUACCUAUAAUUGUUGCUUCGGCGGGACCGCCCCGGCGCCCACUCGGGCCCGGACCCAGGCGCCCGCCGGAGGCCCCAAACUCUUUGUUUUUACGUUGUGUAUCUUCUGAGUUAUACAAGCAAAUAAAUCAAAACUUUCAACAACGGAUCUCUUGGUUCUGGCAUCGAUGAAGAACGCAGCGAAAUGCGAUAAGUAAUGUGAAUUGCAGAAUUCAGUGAAUCAUCGAAUCUUUGAACGCACAUUGCGCCCGCUAGUAUUCUAGCGGGCAUGCCUGUUCGAGCGUCAUUUCAACCCUCAAGCCCCCGUUGGCUUGGUGUUGGGGAUCGGCCGCAAGCCUUCACGGGCAGGGCGGCCGGCCCCGAAAUCUAGUGGCGGUCUCGCUGUAGUCCCCCUCUGCGUAGUAAUUACACCUCGCACUGGAAGCUCGGCCUGACCACGCCGUAAAACCCCCCACUUCUGAAGGUUGACCUCGGAUCAGGUAGGAAUACCCGCUGAACUUAAGCAUAUCAAUAAGCGGAGGAAAAGAAACCAACAGGGAUUGCCCUAGUAACGGCGAGUGAAGCGGCAACAGCUCAAAUUU